UACGAAGGGUGCAAGCGUUACUCGGAAUUACUGGGCGUAAAGCGUGCGUAGGUGGUUUGUUAAGUCUGAUGUGAAAGCCCUGGGCUCAACCUGGGAAUGGCAUUGGAUACUGGCGAGCUAGAGUGCGGUAGAGGGUAGUGGAAUUCCAGGUGUAGCGGUGAAAUGCGUAGAUAUCUGGAGGAACACCGGUGGCGAAGGCGGCAUCCUGGACCAAUAUUGACGCUGAGGAGCGAAAGCCAGGGGAGCAAACGGG
rnacentral:rRNA from 1 species